rnacentral:tRNA from 1 species
GUUCCUGUAGCACAAUGGAUAGCGCAUUGGACUUCUAAUCCAAAGGUCGGGGGUUCGAAUCCCACCUGGGAUG